rnacentral:rRNA from 1 species
UGGGGAAUAUUGCGCAAUGGUCGAAAGACUGACGCAGCGACGCCGCGUGGAGGAUGACGCCCUUCGGGGUGUAAACUCCUGUUGCUCGGGACGAACCUCCCUUUUCGAGGGGACUGACGGUACCGAGUGAGGAAGCACCGGCUAACUCUGUGCCAGCAGCCGCGGUAAUACAGAGGGUGCGAGCGUUGUCCGGAAUCACUGGGCGUAAAGGGCGCGUAGGCGGCAAGGUAAGUCGGGUGUGAAAUCCCUCGGCCUAACCGAGGAAUUGCGCCCGAAACUACCGUGCUUGAGGAUGGAAGGGGAGCGUGGAAUUCCUGGUGGAGCGGUGAAAUGCGUUGAUAUCAGGAGGAACACCGGCGGCGAAGGCGACGCUCUGGUCCAUUUCUGACGCUGAGGUGCGAAAGCCAGGGGAGCAAACGGGAUUAGAUACCCUUGUAGUCCCUGAGCGGGCUGGCAAGGCGCAU